AAAUGCUUAUCUUUCAGGUCUAACAUUAACUGUUUUUGUAUACCACAUGCACUCAUAUUAAUUAUACAUGGUCAUAGCUAAUGUAAGCUUUUGCUGAUUCUUGACGAUACAGAUUGCAGUUGCAGCUCUUAUUGGGGCCAAAUUUGGUGUGACUGGAGAUGUGACGCAGCUACCAAAGUGGUUUGCCAUGGUGGUGGUGAUAGGCAUCUGCAUCUAUGUCGCUGGUUUCGCAUGGUCUUGGGGGCCAUUAGGAUGGCUUUAUCCAAGUGAGAUUUUCUCGUUGGAGGUCAGGUCGGCAGGGCAAAGUGUUAACGUGGCAGUAAACAUGUUCUUCACAUUCUUAAUAGCUCAGGCGUUCCUUUCGAUGUUGUGCACGAUGAAGUUUGGUCUCUUCAUCUUCUUCGCAUUCUUUGUGGCAGUGAUGACAGUCUUUUGUUACUUCUUCAUGCCUGAGACGAAGAACAUUCCUAUUGAAGAAAUGACACAAGUCUGGAGAGACCACUGGUUCUGGAAAAGAUAUAUGAAUGAUCCAAACGAUCCAGUCAAUAAAGCAUUGGAGCUAACAAGGAUGGAACAAGUCUGAUUUUGUUAAUUCAAUUCUUCUUUUUCCUUUUCAGUUCUUACUUUUUGUGUUAGAAAUUAUCAUUCCAAAACUGUAAAUUUUCGUGUAGUUUUCAAUAUCAGUAAAAUUACACCCUUUCAUUAUUCAUUGGGUUCUGCUUUACUAUAUUUUUGCUGACAUCUACUGAUUGAAAUUGUGAUCAUAUUAUGCUUCAUACAUGAAAUAGAUAUUCUAAAAUUUCAAAUGAUAUGGAGAUCUCCUUUCUAAUACAAACUGCUAAAUGUCAGCUUCUAUCAUCAAAAAGAAGUAAUAUGCCGCGACAUUAAUAUUUCAUUAAAUCAGCUAUAUCUUAUAGUGAAAACACACUUUUUGGAACUGAUGGUGAUUUCAAGAUUACCUUGAGAUUCACGAAGUUGAAACUGCUAGCAAAUUCUACAGUACUGUAACUUCAAAUCAUCAGGAGUCGGAACAACAUUUCUUGAGGCCGGAAAGAUUGGAAAGCAUCUUAAUCAUCAUCUUCUUCUUCUUCCUCUGAUUGAAUAAUUUUAAACUAAUUUUUUUUUUUUUUUUUUUCAAUUGUGCUGUAAUAAACUUGACGUGCAUUUGGCGAUGCACACUAAAAAUCUUUGUUAAACACUUUGAGAGUGUUCGAGUGCUUUGUCAUCAAACUUGUCAUUCCCCACAAAAUUUGCUGAACUCUCAUUCGUGAGUUUUUGAAAUAUAUACUACAUUUAUUAUGUAAAAUUUACUCGAGUUAACAAUUUACAAGACGGUGCAUUACUUUACUUUAAUCUCAAGACUCGAAAUUUAUUUGUUUAAUACAAACUAUUCCACAUUCGAAAUUUUAUUAAGUUGCAAACGCAAAAUGGGGCCAACCUUGCCCAUUGAGUGCUCUAUAUUGGGCAAUUGACAUCACAAACUAUUAAAAUAGUUUAACCGCAUUCUAACUAGUUUGAUGCUUUGUAUCGAUUUGGAACAACGAAGAGUUUGAUGGUGGCAUCACGCGAUAGAAUUCAGGGACACGAUCUAGAUUGGCAUGAAUUGAUGAUUUGAGGCGGGCUGCGUCUGUUAGCAUUGAGAGCAUGCUGUCCAGCAAAUUUCAAUACUCGGAUUAAGUGAAAAACAGGCCACAUGGAAGGUACAUGAUGGCAAUUUCGGGUGGUUUCUGCUGUAGGCUUGACAACGGGACAGUUUUGGGCAGUUUCUAGUAUUAAAGGGCUGAAAAUUUGGGAAAACUGACCCAGCAGUUGGGGAUGUCAAAUGUAAUCCUGAUUUUCAUCUAUAUAUUCUAAAUGUUGGUGCAUUUAGAUGAUAUAGAACAGUGAAUGUGUGUGAUGAGGCUACAAUGACUGUGUUGAUCCUUCACUUAUUUUUGUACUUGGUCAUUUUCUUUUUUUAUUAAUAUGGAGUAGGAAAAUGUUUCUCAAUAAUAUGUGUUUUACUUUAUUGUUUCGAUAAAUUCCAUUUUCUAGUCUUUACAUAGUUCAAUUUGUGUGUUUUAGAGAUCCGAAAGUGUUAAAUUUGUACGUUGGCUGGUUGGGGACAAGAAACCUCGAUGAUAUUGUUGGGUAAUUGCUUCAAAAGUCAAAGUUAGAGGACUUUUAUUGCAAAUAAUAAAAGGUAAUGAUUGUAUGGAAUACUUCUAAUUAAAAUUGAAAACAGAAUUCUCACAGAUUUUGGUCUCCAUUUUUAUAGUCGAUUUUGAAGUCUUACACAUAAAAGUAGUUAUGGCAAAAAAACUCGCCCCGCCCCGACCCGACCUGACGAGGCCCGUCCUGAAUGAGCCAAAAAAACUCGUCCUGAGCGGGUUAGCGGGGCAGGGCGCCCCGUUGCGGGGGGCGGGGGCGGGGGCGUGAAGGAAAAAAAAAUUAAAAUAAUUUUAUUUCUAAACAAUUCACCGGUUAAAAACUCAUUUGGAAUUUUUUAUUUUAUUCUCUAAUAAUAACAUAACUCGAAACUUUGAAAUGUUUGGGAUAGAUGGGCACCCCGAACCCACCCCAUUGCCAUCCCUAAAUAAAGGUUUCCUUAUUUGAGUUGAAAUUGAACUCUUUUACUUAAUAAUUGAUCAUACAAAUAGAGGAUGUAUUUAUUAUUUCAUGUUUGUGGCCUAAGAGUUGAUUCGAGAGAGAAAUAUUGCGAAUUUAGCAUCUUGAAAGUUUUCAUACAAAAAUUAGAAAAGUGAGUGUGGUAAAGCACGAGUUUAUUUUUCUUUGUAAUAUUUGGAGAUUUAGUUUGCGAGUGAAAUUUUAUAUAAUUGUAACAAUUUUCAUACAGUGAAAGGCUUUGACAGUCCGAUUAACUUGUGCGUCAUAUUCUUUUUUACUAAUAUUCUCUUGAACAUCAAAUGAUCAUACGAGUAAAUAAAAAUAAAAGGAAUUGGCGUAAAAUUCCCAACAGAUAUUGCAGAUUUGUUGGAAAAGCCCCAUGACACCCGGCAUGUUAUGCCUUUCUUUAUCAUAGUGUUUCAAAAAUCGAAUUGGAUCGACUAGUCUAGAUCGAUAAACUAUUUAAUCGGGCUUCGGUCUAGUUUGGUGAAACGGUUGAACCAAGUUACAUGGAAGCUACCCAACCACUGUUACCACUCUGCCACAUUGGUUCCUAUUGUUAUAGAGCUUGUCAAAAAAGUGUUUAUAAAGGGUUUUGUAACGCCCCAAAAAUUUUGGAAUAAAAAUAUAUUUGUCUUAUAUAUUAUAGUUUUAAAAUUUGAGGAUUGAAAUGAAAUAGCGUUUAAAGUCAUAUUUUAUUUGGCACCAAUAAUUACAUUUUGAUAGAAUGAGUAUAAGUAUAUCAAUAUUGGGCUCAUUUUGUAUCUCGCAUUUAAUAACGUAUUUUCAGCUCAAGAAAAUAUGAGUUCUUUUAAGUUAAAACUAAGUUAUUUCAAUUCAAAGAAACAUAGAUAAUAAGCAUCGUUUUUAUUAUUUAACAAUAUUUCUUUUAAAAUAAUUAGGAAAAGAAGCUAGUAUUUUAUCAUAAUAAUCAAUGUUUAUCUUUUCUAUUAGAGAAAGAGAUUUAAUUAUUUUUAAUCCUUGUUUACAUUUAUCUGCCAAUAUUUUUGAUUUUCUGGUACUCGUGAUUUAAGUAGUUUACAAAGUAAUAUGUAGGGAGAGAUAUUUUUAGUUAACUAUGAUUGAUUGAUGUUUGGAUAAAAUAAUUUUCUCUUUGAUUAAAAAUUCAUUUGUUUUGAUUUGGAAUCCUACUUAGAAUAUUGAUUUAAUAUUUAUGACUUUUUGACCAUUCUAAGAUGACACACGUUUUUAGGCCUAGCUUUGAAUGAAUUGGUUAUUAUAUAAUAAUAUUUUUGGACAAUCUCUAGCCUCUAGGCAUGAUGCAUGGCAAUCAUACCUUGUACUCUCAAUUGUGUCAAUUGCCUUUAAAUUAGAAUUGGUAAAUUUCCUUAUGAUAAGAGUAUGGGUAGCCACACGUGCAUGCACAUUUCCAACUCUCAAUUAGGAUAAAGGCUAAUUUUAAUUGCUAAUUGAAUUUGAAUAAUGGUAAGACACGAUUUGGGGCCUCUAACAAAUUUAGUUAUUUUGGGCAUAUAGUCCAAUUAAGCUUAUAAUAUACUAUUUAAUUAUUUAUUUCAUUUUAUAUGAUGAUAUGAUAACCUGUCAUUUUAUGUAAAUUGACACUAACUUGACCAUUCUUAUGUUAAAUAGAUCCUAAUUAAUUUAAUUUGAUUGAUAUCCAAACAAAGAGUUUUUGUAAUUGGACAGAUUAAUGAGCUAAUUGACGAGAUUUCUGUUGGUUAGAUUGCAUAAUUACCCUUUAUAUAUUUUUAACAAAUUUGGCAGUCAAAACCUUUCUUAAUUUUACACCUCCCUUACACUAUAAAUUCAUUCCAAAUCCUCGAAAAUUUAUGAGAUACAAAACCACUCUCUUCCAUCUUCACUUAACUCUCCACUGCCUGUCCAAGUCUCCAUUCCAGAAGUGUUCUCUUUGUAUUGUCGGAAACGGGUUUUAAUACUCUUAGAAAGGAUUUUGGCACGUGGAAUUACCACUGGAUCGACCUUAAAUCCACAAGACACGACAACAACAAAAAGGUUUUGGGAACGUGAAUUCCUUACUUUUCUAUUAUCAAUCGAGGUAGGAUACUUUAUGUGCAAGUUGUUCUGUCCUUUCAAUAUUAUGGUUUUUGACGUGAUUUAUUUCAUGAAAUGCUAAUCGACCUACGGGUCCAAUGAAAUGAAAUGAAAUGUUCGACUAAGAUGACACACGUUUUUAGGCCUAGCUUUGAAUGAAUUGGUUAUUAUAUAAUAAUAUUUUUGGACAAUCUCUAGCCUCUAGGCAUGAUGCAUGGCAAUCAUACCUUGUACUCUCAAUUGUGUCAAUUGCCUUUAAAUUAGAAUUGGUAAAUUUCCUUAUGAUAAGAGUAUGGGUAGCCACACGUGCACGCACAUUUCCAACUCUCAAUUAGGAUAAAGGCUAAUUUUAAUUGCUAAUUGAAUUUGAAUAAUGGUAAGACACGAUUUGGGGCCUCUAACAAAUUUAGUUAUUUUGGGCAUAUAGUACAAUUAAGCUUAUAAUAUACUAUUUAAUUAUUUAUUUCAUUUUAUAUGAUGAUAUGAUAACCUGUCAUUUUAUGUAAAUUGACACUAACUUGACCAUUCUUAUGUUAAAUAGAUCCUAAUUAAUUUAAUUUGAUUGAUAUCCAAACAAAGAGUUUUUGUAAUUGGACAGAUUAAUGAGCUAAUUGACGAGAUUUCUGUUGGUUAAAUUGCAUAAUUACCCUUUAUAUAUUUUUAACAAAUUUGGCAGUCAAAACCUUUCUUAAUUUUACACCUCCCUUACACUAUAAAUUCAUUCCAAAUCCUCGAAAAUUUAUGAGAUAAAAAUCACUCUCUUCCAUCUUCACUUAACUCUCCACUGCCUGUCCAAGCCUCCAUUCCAUAAGUGUUCUCUUUGUAUUGUCAGAAACGGGUUUUAAUACUCUUAGAAAGGAUUUUGGCACGUGGAAUUGCCACUGGAUCGACCUUAAAUCCACAAGACACGACAACAGCAAAAAGGUUUUGGGAACGUGAAUUCCUUACUUUUCUAUUAUCAAUCGAGGUAGAAUACUUUAUGUGCAAGUUGUUCUGUCCUUUCAAUAUUAUAAUUUUUGACGUGAUUUAUUUCAUGAAAUGCUAAUCGACCUGUGGGUCCAAUGAAAUGAAAUGAAAUGUUCAACCUGCGGGGCUCUAUGAAAUGAAAUGAAAUGUUCGACCUGCGGUUCCCUACGAAAUGAAAUGAAAUGUGAGAUCGCCUUCGGGUCUUCUCAAAUUGUAUUAGAGCUUUCGACUGAUCACCGAUUGCUCUUGACGAAAUGUUGGUAUUAAAUGUUACGAGUUUACGUUUUAAAUUAUUAUAUUGUUUGGACGCACGUAUCCUACUGAGUGUAAUUACUCACUCCUUCAAUUUCAAUAUUUCAGAUCAGUACGGUCAACGUGGAUGGUAGCUGAGCGGUGCGCGGGUUGCCAAGUAAAGAAAAACUUCGCAAGAAAACGUUUUAAAAUAAUUCUGUUAGGAUUAUGUGCUUCAAUUUAAUUCUGUCUAAUGUUCUAUGUUUACGCGACAUUUUGUUUAUUCAAUUUGGUAUUUGAGUAUUAAAUAAAUCAAGAGUUUUAAAUUUCGAAUUAAAUAUUUUCGCUUUACGUAUGUGAUACGAAAUGAUAUUGGUAACACCUCAAAUUUUAAGUCGAUAAAAAUUUAGGGCGUUACAGGUUUUGUUUAUAAUAGCUAGAAAUGCAUGAUAGAUAAAUGUAGUACUUUUAAUAUCACGAAAUAUGUGAAUAAGAAUUGGUUUAACCUUUUUUGCCAUUUAUAAACUGUUUAUUAAAAUUAAAACUUGCCAAAUAUGGCUAUAAUUUUCACAUAUUAUGUUUAUUUUUGUUUUAAAAAAAGGAAAAAAAAAAGUUAUUUUCCUUUAAUCACAUUUUGAAAAAUUAUAAAUUAAAGACGAACUUUGAAAGAGAACCAAAAGCUAUAAAAAAAAAUAAUAAUAGUAAUAAAUAAAAGUUGCAAUCAGGAAAUACAAAAGUUAGAAGAAUUAUUAGUUGUAAUUACUAUCAAAUUACUGUUUUAACUGAUCCAUUCAUCUUAUUUUUGUUAAAAGAUAUAACUUAUUUAAACUAGGUGAUCCACCAACCAAGUGCAUUUCUUGAGUCAAUUACCCGUUCGGAUUUAAACUUUGACACUAUUAUUUUGAAAAAUCCCUACUUAUCAUUCUUUAUAUAAUUGAUUAUGAUAAUCGAAGGAGAUACAUUUUGAAUAUUUAAGCGUUCGUUUGAAUACAAAUUUAUAAAUGGUUUAUAAAUUUAGUCAAAAUUAAAUAUUAAAUGUAACUACACGUUUAUAAUUAUUACUAAUUAUUAUCCAUAUAUUAUGUGCAACGCACUACUAUUUCUGUUAAUAAUUUAGUUUAUAAAUAAUUUGUGAAUUUACCAAUCCGAGCUAAAAUUUUGAGAAGUGGAACAAUUAUUGUAUUAUUUGUUGAACUCCUCGUAAACUAAUAAGCCAUUAACAUUAGGAUUUAAAUAUAAUAUUAUCUGAAAUAAUAAAAGUAAAAUAGAACAUUACUCUUUCCAAAUUAGAUUUGAGAGAAAUUAAUGAUUUAUAUUAAAUACAUUCAAAAGGAUUGGCGUUCUCUUAUGGAAACAAAAAUAGUUUCGGAAAGCAGCAACGGAUCAAUUACCUUAAAUGGUUAAAUUCUUGUUGGACCAGGAUUUGGAUAAACACCAAAAAAUAGGAAUCCCAGUCAUGUUCAUGUCGGAAUUCCAGUGUCUCUCUGUGUUAUACUCCUAAACAAAAUAGCCUUUUUCACCACUCAGGUCUCUAUAUAUACCAACGCAAUUUCGAGUUUUCAACACAAAUUAAUCUUUGCUUUCUCUUUGUUUGUCUGUGUUCUGCAUUCUGAGAUGGGUGGUGUUGCUAUUGCGGUUAGCCGGGGCGGCAGUGGUGAUGAUCCUACUAAGUACCCUGGAAAACUCACAUGGUAUGUGGUAAUAACAUUAAUGGCUGCAGCCAUGGGAGGAUUGAUCUUUGGAUACGAUAUUGGAAUAUCAGGUAUAAAAUUUGGCCUUGUGAUUCUUUGUCAUGGUUUUGAUUAUUCAAGAAGAGUUCUGGUUCAUGUUUCUUGGUUUUCUUGAUGCAGGUGGAGUUACUUCCAUGGCGCCUUUUCUGAAGAAAUUCUUUCCAUCUGUUUACCAUAAACAGAUGGAUGAUACAUCAACUAAUCAAUACUGCAAGUUUGACAGCCAGAUAUUGACACUUUUUACAUCAUCCCUCUAUUUGGCUGCCCUUGUAGCGUCCUUUUUUGCAUCAACAAUGACCAAGAAAUUUGGCCGGAGAAAGUCGAUGAUGCUUGGUGGAAUAAUUUUCUUGGUUGGUGCCAUAAUCAAUGCUGCGGCAGUGCACGUCAGUAUGCUAAUCAUAGGCCGUGUUUUAUUGGGCAUUGGCGUCGGCUUUGCCAACCAGGUAACUUACUUGAUUUGUAUCGGAGUAUAUUCUUCUUGUUAAUGUAAAAGUUGGAAUAGAUCAUCUAAUUUCUGUUCGAUUCUAUUAAUUAUGCAGUCAGUGCCUCUUUAUCUAUCAGAGAUGUCCCCGUACAAUUAUCGUGGAACUUUUAAUGUUUGCUUCCAACUGAUGAUCACAAUUGGAAUUCUGGUAGCCAACCUGCUUAAUUAUUUCUCUGCCAAGAUUGAAGGUGGCUGGGGAUGGCGGCUCAGCCUUGGAUUGGCUGGAGUUCCUGCCAUCGUCAUCAUCAUUGCAUCUUUUUUCCUCUCCGACACCCCAAACUCUCUCAUGGAUAGGGGAAAGGAAGACGAGGCAAAAGCACUGCUCAAACGCAUUCGUGGAGUUGAAAACGUUGAUGCUGAAUUCAAUGAUAUUCUUGCAGCCAAGAAUGAAGCAAGACUAGUACAGAAUCCAUGGCAAAAUAUCUUUAAAAGGCUGUGCUAUCGUCCACAGUUGGUUAUGUCCAUCUUGAUCCCUUUCUUCCAACAACUUACUGGAAUCAACAUGGUUAUGUUCUAUGCUCCUGUGCUCUUUAAAACCAUUGGAUUUGGAAGCAAUGCUUCUCUAAUGUCAGCUGUUAUUACUGGCAUCAUAAAUGCCUUGGCGACUUUAGUAUCUGUUGCAUUUGCUGAUAAGUGGGGCAGAAGAACUCUGUUUCUUGAAGGAGGUGUCCAAAUGCUUAUCUUUCAGGUCUAACAUUAACUGUUUUUCUAAACCACAUGCUCUCAUAUUAUUUAUACGUGGUCAUAGCUAAUGUAACCUUUUGCUGAUUCUUGACGAUACAGAUUGCAGUUGCAGCUCUUAUUGGGGCCAAAUUUGGUGUGACGGGAGAUGUGACGCAGCUACCAAAGUGGUUUGCCAUGGUGGUGGUGAUAGGCAUCUGCAUCUAUGUUGCUGGUUUCGCAUGGU
rnacentral:lncRNA from 1 species